AUCACUGGAUUGUCUGGUCCAGACUCGAUUAUUAACAGACCGCCGUCAUAUGGCUGGAAUAUUGCUGAGUGCGGCGUUAAACAACCAACCAAACAACCAAUCAUUUGUUGAAAUGUGUGGAUUCGUCAACGUUUUAUAUAAUGUUCAAACUAUUUCUGAUCUUUUUUUUAUACCGUUUCCAACCACUUAUAUUAGCAUAUUUGAAGCAAAUUAAACUGUGAUAAGAUGUAGAUUUUUUAAAUUGUCCCUUUUUACAGUUAACUGUGCUAAAAGAUUGAAGUUUUAGUGAUCUUUGUUGUCACUUUUUGUCUGUGUUCUCUUCCACAGAAAAAACUAAACUGCUUUCUCGCCGCGAAUAGUUACAAUACUGGUGAUGCGGCUUAACGCAAUACUCCCUCACUCACUCACUCAAGGAUGGCGACUUCACUUCUGAUGGUUGGUGGCGCGUUAAACUUCGCGAACAACCUGAUAUCAUCACUAUUUCAUAGUGAUUCAUAAACACAUGCUUAUGACACACUCUAUGGACAUUUGUACAAGGCGGAAGUGAUCACGAGUCGGAUUUUCGAGUGACGUCAACUUCCCUUAUGUCAACUAAUUUAUGAAUGGGACAAACCAUACAUGUUAGAAGAUUUAUUGUUAUUACGACUGACGUACUUGUAGUGUGUACAAGAAGGGGAUUGAAAUGUCGGAGUGCCCAAAAGACUUUUACUUGGAACCAUUGUCUGGGACUUGCAAACCUUGUGAUGAAUUAUGCCACCAAGCAACUGUCAGGGGGACAGUCAGACUCUGUCGAAGAUUUUGUCCAGUGGUUGUUAAUGCGCCUGUCACGGAGGCACCGAUCGCGACUGAUCCAGUUACGACAGUUUUCACACCCAGUUACGAGCAAUCAACCAACAGCUUGAGUAGUGAUGGUUCACUUGAAGCGCAAUAUGCCGUCAUUAUUCUAGCGACUUUAAUCAUCCUGAUUUCCCUGGUACCGUUAGUGGUUCUCCUAAAAAGAGAAAUUAUAAACUUCCUGAACAGACGAAAUAUGGAGACGAAGCGCGAAACCUCGCCGGGAACCCGGUUUAAUACCAAUCUACAAAUCUAGAAAUCAUUCAACAGAAAUCCGAUGAUAAAUAGGAGUACAUUAACAAAAACAACAACCUCCAAAUCAUGAAAAUAUUAUUGAUACAUGUAUUUCAACAUUAGAAAUCAGAAUGCAGUCUUAAUACAUAUAUUUAUAUUUUAUGCAUGCCUCGCGUGAAGUCAGUCAGAAGAAUGUCCAUGCAUAUAUCACGUCAUACAUUAAAAUGCAUCAUAAGUAAAUGUUUACUUCACAAGUACAUGUAGAUCCUUUCUGUGUUUGUGGCGGGUGCCACCAGUGGGACAGGAUACGCUCACCUUUUCUCGAAUGGUUGGUGUCAUCACUGUCUGAUAGUGAGUGAGUUAGUGAGUAUGGUUUUACGCUGCUUUUAGCAAUA